UUGUGAUGUAUUCUUCAAUGUAUAUGAGUCAUGUUAUCAUAUGGAUACUUUCUGUAAUAUACCCCUGUGUGGUGUAUUCUUCAAUGUAUAUGAGUCAUGUUAUCAUUUGGAUACUGUAUUGAUGUGAACAAUGACGUUCUGCAAUAUACCCCUGUGUGAUGUAUUCUUUAAUGUAUAUGAGUCAUGUUAUCAUAUGGAUACUGUAUUGAUGGGAACAAUGACGUUCUGCAAUAUACCCCUGUGUGAUGUAUUCUUUAAUGUAUAUGAGUCAUGUUAUCAUAUGGAUACUGUAUUGAUGGGAACAAUGCAGUUCUGUAAUAUACCCAUGUGUGGUGUAUUCUUCAAUGUAUAUGAGACAUGUUAUCAUAUGGAUACUUUCUGUAAUAUACCAAUGGGUGAUGUAUUCUUCAAUGUAUAUGAGACAUGUUAUCAUAUGGAUACUGUAUUGAUGGGAACAAUGACGUUCUGCAAUAUACCCCUGUGUGAUGUAUUCUUUAAUGUAUAUGAGUCAUGUUAUCAUAUGGAUGCUGUAUUGAUGUGAACAAUGACGUUCUGCAAUAUACCCCUGUGUGAUGUAUUCUUCAAUGUAUAUGAGACUUGUUAUCAUAUGGAUACUGUAUUGAUGUGAACAAUGACCUUCUGCAAUAUACCCCUGUGUGAUGUAUUCUUUAAUGAAUAUGAGUCAUGUUAUCAUAUGGAUCCUGUAUUGAUGGGAACAAUGCAGUUCUGUAAUAUACCCCUGUGUGGUGUAUUCUUUAAUGUAUAUGAGUCAUGUUAUCAUUUGGAUGCUGUAUUGAUGUGAACAAUGACGUUCUGCAAUAUACCCCUGUGUGAUGUAUUCUUUAAUGUAUAUGAGUUAUGUUAUAAUAUGGAUACUGUAUUGAUGGGAACAAUGCAGUUCUGUAAUAUACCCCUGUGUGGUGUAUUCUUCAAUGUAUAUGAGAUAUGUUAUCAUAUGGAUACUGUAUUGAUGGGAGCAAUGACGUUCUGUAAUAUACCCCUGUGUGGUGUAUUCUUCAAUGUAUAUGAGACAUGUUAUCAUUUGGAUGCUGAAUUAAUGUAAACAAUGCCAUUCUGUAAUAUACCCCUGUGUGAUGUAUUCUUUAAUGUAUAUGAGUCAUGUUAUCAUAUGGAUACUGUAUUGAUGGGAACAAUGCAGUUCUGCAAUAUACCCCUGUGUGGUGUAUUCUUUAAUGUAUAUGAGACAUGUUAUCAUAUGGAUACUGUAUUGAUGGGAACAAUGACGUUCUGCAAUAUACCCCUGUGUGAUGUAUUCUUUAAUGUAUAUGAGUCAUGUUAUCAUAUGGAUACUGUAUUGAUGGGAACAAUGAUGUUCUGCAAUAUACCCCUGUGUGGUGUAUUCUUUAAUGUAUAUGAGUCAUGUUAUCAUAUGGAUACUGUAUUGAUGGGAACAAUGACGUUCUGUAAUAUACCCCUGUGUGGUGUAUUCUUUAAUGUAUAUGAGUCAUGUUAUCAUAUGGAUACUGUAUUGAUGGGAACAAUGACGUUCUGCAAUAUACCCCUGUGUGGAGUAUUCUUUAAUGUAUAUGAGUCAUGUUAUCAUAUGGAUACUGUAUUGAUGGGAACAAUGACGUUCUGCAAUAUACCCCUGUGUGGAGUAUUCUUUAA